GUAGACUGGGGGAACUAAACAACACAGCGGGAUGAGCUCCUCAGCAGGUUACUACAUCUGAAGCACAGAAGACCAAAGAAAUUAUGAUUUUCUGCCAUAAUCUAGCAGCCCUAGAAAGAAGACGUUUCUUUACAGGAAGUCCGCUACAGCAAACUGGCAGAUCUGUGAAUGGAGUUUGGUGUGGAGUCAUGGCGGUGGCUCUGUCUGAUGCUAACAGUUAGCUAGCUGUCGGCACGUUAGCCGGUCAGCAUGAAGGUGAUAAACUAGCAGCAUGCUAACCGAUGCUAACCGCGGCUCCUGUUGCAGGACAAACCGGAGAACGUGUGUUUACGUCCCGAGCAGCUGCUCCGGUAAACAAACGGUUU